CGCGGGGUAGAGCAGUUGGUAGCUCGUCAGGCUCAUAACCUGAAGGUCGGAGGUUCGAGUCCUCCCCCCGCUA
rnacentral:tRNA from 2 species